UACGGAGGGUGCAAGCGUUGUCCGGAUUUACUGGGUUUAAAGGGUGCGUAGGUGGGUAGGAAAGUCAGUGGUGAAAUCUUCGGGCUUAACCCGGAAACUGCCAUUGAUACUAUUUAUCUUGAAUACUUUGGAGGUAAGCGGAAUAUGUCAUGUAGCGGUGAAAAUGCUUAGAUAUGACAUAGAACACCAAAUUGCGAAGGCAGCUUACUACACAGUUAUUGACACUGAGGCACGAAAAGCUGGGGGAUCAAAACAGGGAUUUAGAAA
rnacentral:rRNA from 1 species